AGAGGAGGAUCCGGAGCGGAAGAGGAAGAAGAAAGAGAAGAAGAAAAAGAAGAACCGGCACAGCCCGGAGCACCCGGGCGUGGGCAGCUCCCAGGCCAGCAGCAGCUUACGGUGAGACCACCCCAGCACCGCCCCGGGGACCCCCUGGCCGACGGCCCCGGCUGACCCUGGGCAGGGGCACUGGGCUGGCCUGUCCACCACCCCCCCCCGGCAGGGAGGACACCCCCACAGCCCCCUGGGACCAGAGGCACAGACUCUGCGGGUGCUGACCUCGGGCUUUUGUACCAAAAGACCCCGGAGCGUCGGGGCCUGUUUUUUAGUUACCUCUGAAGUAAAGUCUCUGCUCUGGGGGCUGCGGCUGCUGCGACCCUCGGCCAUCACGGCGUGGGGAGCAGCCCUGAGCGAGGGCUCCCUGGAGUGUGCACGGUCAGCACCACCCUGAGCUCCUGCCCCGGCUCUCAGCCUGGCUCCUGCCUUGGCUUUGGCCUUGUCCUGCUCUGGCCCUCACCUCCCAGGCCUGCUGAGGACAGGGGGGACCCCUGGACAGGCACCGUGUCCCUGCGUGGAGGUGGCAGCUGCCGCGGGCACCGGGAUCUCCAGCAGCAGUCACAGAGGCUGCCACAGCCCUCCUCUGGAUCUCGAGCCUCACCAGCACCUGCCACACCUUCCCUGGAGCAGUUUUCCCCAUGCCUGGAAAAUCCUUACCUUCCGUGGGAGCAGUUUGCCCAAAAGCAGCCCCAGGAGGUGCCUCCCCAAAACGCAGCUGGGCUUGGCUAUCCCCCAGGCCUCCUUCCCUCUCCCCCCCCCUCAGGAUGGGGAAGGCUGAGACCCCAAGGAACAGGAGCUCCUCCAUCCCUGGACGCCAAACAAAGCACACGCACGGCCCCGGGGUGGCUCAUUAAAUAUCCUUUUAUUCCUCGUUUUUAAAAUGGCUGAUAAUAAUAAAAAACCCUGGCGUGGCUCUGCGGGGCCACGGGAGCUGUUGCCGUAGAGAAAAGAGUCCGGUGGUGCCUGCAGGGCCACGGCUUUGCCCAGGCAGGGCAGGGGAUGGGGAGCACGGGGCUCCUUGGCUGCGGUUUGUUUUUUGUUUUUUUUUUUUUUUUUUUUUGGCAUGUGAUGAGAAAAAUAUUGCUUUCCGGGGAUGUGCCCCACGGACCUGCCUCUUCCCCGAGCAAACGGAAAUAAAAACACCCCUGUGACAGCGAGAAA